rnacentral:rRNA from 1 species
UACGGGGGGGGGCAAGCGUUGUUCGGAAUUACUGGGCGUAAAGGGUUCGUAGGUGGCCCGCUAAGUCACACGUGAAAUCCCUCAGCUUAACUUGGGAACUGCGUCUGAUACUGGGAGGCUUGAAUGCGGGAGAGGGAUGUGGAAUUCCAGGUGUAGCGGUGAAAUGCGUAGAUAUCAGGAGGAAUACCGGUGGUGUAGACGGCUCUCUGGACCGCCACUGACGCUGAGACACGAAAGCGUGGGUAGCAAACAGG